ACUCCUAUUGCACAUACUCCCAUCUUUUUUAAAGUGCUCAGCCACUCUAUAACUGAGACCUCAGACACUUACACUGUGGCUAGUUGAAAAGUCAUGAAGCUUCAAACUGCAGGACUAGGGCUGUAACUCUGAGGACUGAUCUGAUUUGGAUUUCAAUAUGUAAUGAAUGUUGCUUCUGUUAACCAUGUCAGCUACUUAUUGGCUCUACAUUACCACAGCAGAUUAAUU